rnacentral:rRNA from 1 species
GGAAUAUUGGACAAUGGGGGAAACCCUGAUCCAGCCAUGCCGCGUGCGUGAAGAAGGCCCUAGGGUUGUAAAGCGCUUUCGGCGGGGAAGAUGAUGACGGUACCCGCGGAAGAAGCCCCGGCUAACUCCGUGCCAGCAGCCGCGGUAAUACGGAGGGGGCAAGCGUUGUUCGGAAUUACUGGGCGUAAAGGGCGCGUAGGCGGACAGUCAAGUCAGGGGUGAAAGGCCUGGGCUCAACCUGGGAAUUGCCCUUGAAACUGACGGUCUAGAGUCCGAGAGAGGAUAGCGGAAUUCCCAGUGUAGAGGUGAAAUUCGUAGAUAUUGGGAAGAACACCAGUGGCGAAGGCGGCUAUCUGGCUCGGUACUGACGCUGAGGCGCGAAAGCGUGGGGAGCAAAC